rnacentral:misc_RNA from 1 species
GAAUCCUAGGUCACAAUGGAAUGAGAAGGCUUGGAACUAGACUGAUUGGCAGUAAUGCGAAAACAGAAGAAAAAAGAGAAUAGGGAGAAUGCGGAUUUGGUGGUACUUGAAUUGAUACUCAUCAUGCGAAUUGGAGAGCAUGCCCCUAAGGGUACUCUUUUAUUAGAAGUGAUUUAAAGAUGUCAACAUCUAUUUUUGAUUCAACAGCGGAAAAACAUCAAACAAUUCAUGCUUACUACAGGUUCUAUUUGGCUUGUCGAAAUACCGAUUAAUCAUC